UACGUAGGGUGCGAGCGUUGCCCGGAUUUAUUGGGCGUAAAGGGCGCGUAGGCGGCUCUGCACGUCCGUUGUGAAAUCGCCCGGCUCAACUGGGCGGGGUCAGCGGAUACGGCGGAGCUUGAGCAAGCUAGGGGGCAAUGGAAUUCCCGGUGUAGUGGUGGAAUGCGCAGAUAUCAGGAGGAACACCGAUGGCGAAGGCAGGUCUCUGGGCCACUACUGACGCUGAGAAGCGAAAGCAUGGGGAGCGAACAGG
rnacentral:rRNA from 1 species